AUGGCCCGGGAGCUGAACCGCCGAGACAUCCUGUACCUCAACGUGGUGGAGCCCGAGAUGUCGUGGGAGGGCGACGCCGGGGCGCUUGGGGCGGGGCAUCACAGGCUGCAGGCGAUGAGGGACACCUUCGACGGGACGCUGAUGGUCGGCGGAGGGUACGGCAGGGAGGAGGGGAACUGCGCCAUCGCCGAAGAGUACGCCGACCUGGUCGCCUACGGCCGCCUCUUCCUCGCCAACCCCGACCUGCCGGAGAGGUUCCGGCGGAACGCGCCGCUGAACAAGUACAACCGGGCGACGUUCUACACCGACGACCCCGUCGUCGGGUACACGGACUACCCGUUUCUCGGCCAGACGUCCAAGGGGAAUGGCAUGAUGUAG
rnacentral:rRNA from 1 species